UGUUAAUUGGGUCCCUAAAACCUGUUUGCAGGAGAUGUGCAAGUAGCUUCUGGGAACAUGUCCCCAGUUAAUUCUGAUUGGUAAGUAAGAUAAUAUCAGGCAAUAUGUGGGGAUGAGAGACAGCUGCAGGAUUUAAGAUUCCCAGGUUUGGAACCAUGAGGAAGAAGAGGGACACAGAUAUGAAGGACCUGAAUUGUAUGUAGGGGAGGAAAGCAGAACCACGAUGUAAAGGGGCCAGGAGAACAUGGCCCAGAGGACUGCUCAAUUAAGUCAAGAGCAGCCAAAACAUAACAAAGAAAUUCAUAUGUAGUAAUUCAGAGAUCUCUGAGGGAGGUAAAAAACAACAUCAUAGAGGUUAGGCAGUUGUUCAGCUAUUGUGCUACUUAAUUGAUAUUAAAUAUAAAGGCUGUGUGAUUUUCAUUUGGGAACAUAAACCAUUAAAGCAGGUAGUAACCAAUGAGAGAUUAAUUUAAAAAAUAAAACUUCAAAUAUGAUAAUAACUUUGGGCAAGAUAAAUCAACAGAAAACAUGAGCCCAAGCCAAGGCACAAUAAUCAGAGAUCUACUUAUUUGAACACUCAAACAUCCCAUUAUCCCUUAACUGGAUGUCAUAUUACAUUUGAGAAGGUCCUAGUACAUUACCAAAGACCCUGGAAUUUAGCAGUAUACUAUGUAGACACUGACUUGACAUUUUUAUUUUAAUGAAAUUUCUAGGUACUGUCAUCAACAAUUACACCUUGCUGUCAGUUUGGCGACAGAGCCCUAUAGUUUUGGAAACAACUUGGGUUGCUUGGAAAUUUCUGUUCUAUUUAUAACUAAAUUAUAUGUAAACCAAUUCUAGUGCUGAAGCUUUGUUUGGUGGCAAGUAUUGGCCCAUUGAGAGCCAUUAUUUGGUAAUUUCACUUAAAUCUCUCUCUCUCUCUCUCUCUCUCUCCCUCUCUCUCUCUCUCUCUCUCUCUCUCUCUCUCUCUCUCUCUCUCUCUUUCUCUCUCUCACACACGCACACCCACACACACACACACACACAAACACAAACAAACACACAAAACACAAAACAAACACACACACACACAUAUAUCUACACAUAAAUACACACACACACACACACACACACAUAUAUAUAUGUAUAUAUACACAUAAUUCAUAUUGUUUUUAUUGUACUAUGUUUCCCUACUACCCCUUCAGUACCCUUUUAGUGACCUGUUACUUUUAACUUUACCUCUUGUAUUCCUUUCGACAAUCUACCCUCCUCACCCUAGCUGUGUCUCCCUGUUUUCUCUUCCACAAUCUCCUCUCUUCUCCUUUUUCCCACUUGAUUCAAGCUCCAAUCCCAAUUCGUUAGUUUUGUGUAGUCUCUUUCCUCUGUCAAAGUAUGCUGUAUGAAACUUGUAAUUAUCUGUUAUUUUUUUAAAAAAAGGCUAGUAUUUACUUUACAUAAUGAGUAACUUGAAAACAGUAUCUGGGACAUUUUAGAUGGAAGUGGCAACAAUGUGUAACAGAUGAUUUUUUUUAAAAAGGCAGAUAUAAAGAUGUAAAGAUGCAUUUAUUAUCUGUGUAUAUUCAUUUUCCACUUAUGUUUAUGGAAAUUUUUGUAACUAUUAUUUGAAUUAUUUUUUCAUAUCAUGAAAGUGGCUAGAGAUUUUCAAAGGAUUUUAUUUUCUUUUUCUGAACACUGAAAUGAUCAUGUAAAACUUUGCCAUUACUGUAUUAAUGUAGUACUUUACAUGAGCGCUUUAUAUGUUAUGCUAUUCCUACAUAUUUAGGUCACAUUUACAAUAUAAUAGUAUAUACACUUUUCUAUAUGUUUGAUGGUUUGAAUUGUAUUUGUUAGUAUAGAACUUCAUUUUGUAUUAUUGUUUGAUGUUUUUCACACAAUAUAUUUUAAUUACUGUCUCACCACUUUUCCAACUGUUACCAGAUUUUCGUGUCUCCCUACCAAUAAAAUUUCAUCCACCCUUGGUUGUGUGC
rnacentral:lncRNA from 1 species